rnacentral:rRNA from 1 species
AUUGAACGCUGGCGGCAUGCCUUACACAUGCAAGUCGAGCGGCAGCGCGGGGGCAACCCUGGCGGCGAGCGGCGAACGGGUGAGUAAUACAUCGGAACGUGUCCAGUAGCGGGGGAUAACCUGUCGAAAGAUAGGCUAAUACCGCAUACGACCUACGGGUGAAAGCGGGGGACCGCAAGGCCUCGCACUAUUGGAGCGGCCGAUGUCGGAUUAGCUAGUUGGCGGGGUAACGGCCCACCAAGGCGACGAUCCGUAGCUGGUCUGAGAGGACGACCAGCCACACUGGAGCGGAGACACGGUCCAGACUCCUACGGGAGGCAGCAGUGGGGAAUUUUGGACAAUGGGCGCAAGCCUGAUCCAGCCAUGCCGCGUGAGUGAAGAAGGCCUUCGGGUUGUAAAGCUCUUUCGGCGGGGACGAAACGGUCCGUGCCAACACCACGGACUAAUGACGGUACUCGCAGAAGAAGCACCGGCUAACUACGUGCCAGCAGCCGCCGUAA